rnacentral:rRNA from 1 species
UAGAGUUUUGUUCAUGGCUCAGAACGAACGCUGGCGGCGUGCCUAACACAUGCAAGUCGAGCGCGAAUAGGGGCAACCCUUAGUAGAGCGGCGCACGGGUGCGUAACACGUGGAUAAUCUGCCUGGAUGCCCGGGAUAACCAGUCGAAAGAUUGGCUAAUACCGGAUAAGCCCACGGCCUCUUCGGAGACUGAGGGAAAAGGUGGCCUCUGUAUACAAGCUAUCACAACCAGAUGAGUCCGCGGCCCAUCAGCUAGUUGGCGGGGUAAUGGCCCACCAAGGCGACGACGGGUAGCUGGUCUGAGAGGACGAUCAGCCACACUGGAACUGAGACACGGUCCAGACUCCUACGGGAGGCAGCAGUGGGGAAUUUUGCGCAAUGGGCGAAAGCCUGACGCAGCAACGCCGCGUGUGUGAUGAAGGUCUUCGGAUUGUAAAGCACUUUCGACCGGGACGAAAACCCGUAGCCCAACACGCUACGGCUUGACGGUACCGGGAGAAGAAGCACCGGCUAACUCUGUGCCAGCAGCCGCGGUAAUACAGAGGGUGCAAGCGUUGUUCGGAAUUAUUGGGCGUAAAGCGCGUGUAGGCGGCGUGACAAGUCGGGUGUGAAAGCCCUCAGCUCAACUGAGGAAGUGCGCCCGAAACUGUCGUGCUUGAGUGCCGGAGAGGGUGGCGGAAUUCCCCAAGUAGAGGUGAAAUUCGUAGAUAUGGGGAGGAACACCGGUGGCGAAGGCGGCCACCUGGACGGUAACUGACGCUGAGACGCGAAAGCGUGGGGAGCAAACAGGAUUACAUACCCUGGUAGUCCACGCCGUAUACGAUGAGAACUAGGUGUCGUGCGACUUGACCCCCGCGGUGCCGACGCUAACGCAUUAAGUUCUCCGCCUGGUAAGUACGGUCGCAAGACUAAAACUCAAAGGAAUUGACGGGGGCCCGCACAAGCGGUGGACCAUGUCGGUUUAAUUUCGACGGCAACGCGCACAACCCUACCUGGGUCUUGACAUCCUUGGAAUCCCUCAGAGAUGA